CCCUACGGGGGGCAGCAGUGAGGAAUAUUGGUCAAUGGUCGGGAGACUGAACCAGCCAAGCCGCGUGAGGGAUGAAGGUGCAGAGUAUCGUAAACCUCUUUUGUCAGGGAACAAAGGCGGGGACGCGUCCCCGGAUGAGUGUACCUGAAGAAAAAGCAUCGGCUAACUCCGUGCCAGCAGCCGCGGUAAUACGGAGGAUGCGAGCGUUAUCCGGAUUUAUUGGGUUUAAAGGGUGCGCAGGCGGUCUGUUAAGUCAGCGGUCAAAGCCCGGGGCUCAACCCCGGCCCGCCGUUGAGACUGGCAGG
rnacentral:rRNA from 1 species